rnacentral:sRNA from 1 species
GGACCGAGAAGUUACCCAGGUUCGUUAGAUUUAAGGAUAUGUCCUAUCUUUCAACGCUCCAACGUUGUUAUUACUGUUCCUAUUCUAGAAUAACCUUGGCGGAAUGGCAAGUAGGUUGCCGGAUGAUGAGAGACCUUCCUCACUCCGGUUGUCAGCACUGCUUGACUAAACGUCGGCACCUGCGCUUCUCCACUUUUCAAACCAAGUGGUCGUGCGAUGAACAUGGUCCUUCGUUCUUACGUAUAGGACACUGGCACGCACAUCGCAGCAAC